AGUCACUGAACUUGGGAGCUGAAGAAUACUGGACGGGGCUUCGGAGAGGAAGGAUGGUCCAGGCGCACCCCAGGGGUUGCGAUGGGCUCUUCUUGGUGUCUGUAUGGUUGCUGCAAUGCUGGGGUGAAAACAACACGGCUAGAAGCUCAUUCUGAAAUGGGGAGCACUGAAAUUUUGGAAAAGGAGACCCCAGAAAAUCUCAGUAAUGGUACCAGCAGCAAUGUGGAAGCAGCCAAAAGGUUGGCCAAACGCCUUUAUCAGCUGGACAGAUUCAAAAGAUCAGAUGUUGCAAAACACCUUGGCAAGAACAACGAAUUUAGCAAACUAGUUGCAGAAGAAUAUCUGAAGUUUUUUGAUUUUACAGGAAUGACGCUGGAUCAGUCACUCAGGAAAAUGAAUCUACAUUGUCAAGUAUUUCUUUAAAGCAUUCUCUCUUGUGGGAGAAACUCAAGAACGAGAGAGAGUUUUAAUACACUUCUCCAAUAGAUAUUUUUAUUGUAACCCAGAUACCAUUGCUUCACAAGAUGGAGUCCAUUGCCUUACCUGUGCAAUAAUGCUUCUUAAUACCGAUCUACAUGGC
rnacentral:lncRNA from 1 species